CGCUGCGGCGUGCUUAACACAUGCAAGUCGAGCGGUAAGGCCCUUCGGGGUACACGAGCGGCGAACGGGUGAGUAACACGUGGGUGAUCUGCCUCGUACUUCGGGAUAAGCCUGGGAAACUGGGUCUAAUACCGGAUAUGACUACUGGUUGCAUGACUGGUGGUGGAAAGAUUUAUCGGUGCGAGAUGGGCCCGCGGCCUAUCAGCUUGUUGGUGGGGUAAUGGCCUACCAAGGCGACGACGGGUAGCCGACCUGAGAGGGUGACCGGCCACACUGGGACUGAGACACGGCCCAGACUCCUACGGGAGGCAGCAGUGGGGAAUAUUGCACAAUGGGCGGAAGCCUGAUGCAGCGACGCCGCGUGAGGGAUGACGGCCUUCGGGUUGUAAACCUCUUUCGACAGGGACGAAGCGUGAGUGACGGUACCUGUAGAAGAAGCACCGGCCAACUACGUGCCAGCAGCCGCGGUAAUACGUAGGGUGCGAGCGUUGUCCGGAAUUAC
rnacentral:rRNA from 1 species